UGGGGAAUAUUGCACAAUGGGCGGAAGCCUGAUGCAGCGACGCCGCGUGGGGGAUGAAGGCCUUCGGGUUGUAAACUCCUUUCGACAGGGACGAAGCUUUUGUGACGGUACCUGUAUAAGAAGCACCGGCUAACUACGUGCCAGCAGCCGCGGUAAUACGUAGGGUGCGAGCGUUGUCCGGAAUUACUGGGCGUAAAGAGCUCGUAGGUGGUUUGUUGCGUCGUCUGUGAAAUUCCGGGGCUUAACUCCGGGCGUGCAGGCGAUACGGGCUGACUUGAGUGCUGUAGGGGAGACUGGAAUUCCUGGUGUAGCGGUGAAAUGCGCAGAUAUCAGGAGGAACACCGAUGGCGAAGGCAGGUCUCUGGGCAGUAACUGACGCUGAGGAGCGAAAGCAUGGGUAGCGAACAGGAUUAGAUACCCUGGUAGUCCAUGCCGUAAACGGUGGGCGCUAGGUGUAGGGGGCUUCCACGUCUUCUGUGCCGUAGCUAACGCAUUAAGCGCCCCGCCUGGGGAGUACGGCCGCAAGGCUA
rnacentral:rRNA from 1 species